GAUGAACGCUGGCGGCGUGCCUAAUACAUGCAAGUCGAGCGAACAGAUGAGGAGCUUGCUCCUCUGACGUUAGCGGCGGACGGGUGAGUAACACGUGGAUAACCUACCUAUAAGACUGGGAUAACUUCGGGAAACCGGAGCUAAUACCGGAUAAUAUAUUGAACCGCAUGGUUCAAUAGUGAAAGACGGUUUUGCUGUCACUUAUAGAUGGAUCCGCGCCGCAUUAGCUAGUUGGUAAGGUAACGGCUUACCAAGGCAACGAUGCGUAGCCGACCUGAGAGGGUGAUCGGCCACACUGGAACUGAGACACGGUCCAGACUCCUACGGGAGGCAGCAGUAGGGAAUCUUCCGCAAUGGGCGAAAGCCUGACGGAGCAACGCCGCGUGAGUGAUGAAGGUCUUCGGAUCGUAAAACUCUGUUAUUAGGGAAGAACAAAUGUGUAAGUAACGAUGCACGUCUUGACGGUACCUAAUCAGAAGCCACGGCUAACUACGUG
rnacentral:rRNA from 1 species